ACGGAGGGUGCAAGCGUUACUCGGAAUUACUGGGCGCAAAGAGUGCGUAGGUGGUUGAUUAAGUUAUCUGUGAAAUCCCUGGGCUCAACCUGGGCAGGUCAUAUAAUACUGGUUAACUCGAGUAUGGGAGAGGGUAGUGGAAUUUCCGGUGUAGCGGUGAAAUGCGUAGAGAUCGGAAGGAACACCAGUGGCGAAGGCGGCUACCUGGCCUAAUACUGACACUGAGGCGCGAAAGCGUGGGGAGCAAACAG
rnacentral:rRNA from 1 species